rnacentral:rRNA from 1 species
CAGCAGUGAGGAAUAUUGGUCAAUGGGCGCAAGCCUGAACCAGCCAAGUCGCGUGAGGGAAGACGGCCCUACGGGUUGUAAACCUCUUUUGCCGGGGAGCAAGCCUGAGCACGCGUGCCCAGGCGGAGAGUACCCGGAGAAAAAGCAUCGGCUAACUCCGUGCCAGCAGCCGCGGUAAUACGGAGGAUGCGAGCGUUAUCCGGAUUUAUUGGGUUUAAAGGGUGCGCAGGCGGGCUGUUAAGCCGGCGGUAAAAAUUCAGGGCUCAACCCUGUCGAGCCGUCGGAACUGGCAGUCUUGAGUGGGCGAGAAGUAUGCGGAAUGCGUGGUGUAGCGGUGAAAUGCAUAGAUAUCACGCAGAACGCCGAUUGCGAAGGCAGCAUACCGGCGCCCGACUGACGCUGAGGCACGAAAGCGUGGGGAUCGAACAGGAUUAGA